CCUAAAUUAACCAUGGCCAAGUGUAGACGAAAUGUGGAAAAUUUCCUAGAAGCUUGCCGAAAGAUUGGUGUGCCUCAGGAGCGAUUAUGUUUGCCUCCGCAUAUUUUAGAAGAGACAGGGUUGACGCGGGUGGCAGAGACUGUACAGGCACUUCUGGAGCGGGCCCCCCCAAAACAGCACCACCACCACCAUCACCAGCAGCAGCAGCAGCAGCACACGGCUGCCGUGUAAUGACCCUCGAAACGGUGUUGCUUUUCCCUUGGCCAAGCCGAAGAACUCCCGGAUGUGGCUGCUGGUGCGCGGUGUCCAGGCGCGUGGGCCACAUGACAUUCGAAGGAGGAAAUAAAUGUGUCCAGGAUUCCUGA